rnacentral:rRNA from 1 species
AACGAACGCUGGCGGCAGGCUUAACACAUGCAAGUCGAACGCCACCUUCGGGUGGAGUGGCAGACGGGUGAGUAACGCGUGGGAACGUACCUUUUGCUUCGGAAUAUUCCCGGGAAACUGGGAGCAAUACCGAAUAAGCCCUGAGGGGGAAAGAUUUAUCGGCAAAAGAUCGGCCCGCGUUAGAUUAGGUAGUUGGUGGGGUAAUGGCCUACCAAGCCUACGAUCUAUAGCUGGUCUGAGAGGAUGAUCAGCCACAUUGGGACUGAGACACGGCCCAAACUCCUACGGGAGGCAGCAGUGGGGAAUAUUGGACAAUGGGCGCAAGCCUGAUCCAGCCAUGCCGCGUGAAUGAUGAAGGCCUUAGGGUUGUAAAAUUCUUUCAACGGGGACGAUAAUGACGGUACCCGUAGAAGAAGCCCCGGCUAACUUCGUGCCAGCAGCCGCAGUAA